GAUGAACGCUGGCGGCGUGCUUAACACAUGCAAGUCGAACGGUGAACACGGAGCUUGCUCUGUGGGCUCAGUGGCGAACGGGUGAGUAACACGUGAGCAACCCGCCCCUGACUCUGGGAUAAGCGCUGGAAACGGCGUCUAAUACUGGAUAUGUGACGUGACCGCAUGGUCUGCGUUUGGAAAGAUUUUUCGGUUGGGGAUGGGCUCGCGGCCUAUCAGCUUGUUGGUGGGGUAAUGGCUCACCAAGGCGUCGACGGGUAGCCGGCCUGGGAGGGUGACCGGCCACAAGGGGACUGAGAGACGGCCCAGACUCCUACGGGAGGCAGCAGUGGGGAAUAUUGCACAAUGAGCGCAAGCCUGAUGCAGCAGCGCCGCGUGAGUGAUGACGGCCUUCGGGUUGUAAACCUCUUUUAGCAGGGAAGAAGCGAAAGUGACGGUACCUGCAGAAAAAGCGCCGGCUAACUACGUG
rnacentral:rRNA from 1 species